CCGGUGCUUGCACUGGGAGACCCGAGUGGCGAACGGGUGAGUAACACGUGACCAACCUGUCCUAGGGUGAGGGACAACCCGGGGAAACCUGGGCUAAUACCGCAUGAUGUCACACUUCUGCAUGGUUGUGUGAUCAAAGAGGGCCUCUACUUGUAAGCUCUCGCCCAAGGAGGGGGUCGCGACGUAUCAGCUAGUUGGUGGGGUAACGGCCUACCAAGGCUACGACGCGUAGCGGAUCUGAGAGGAUGAUCCGUCACAUUGGGACUGAGAUACGGCCCAGACUCCUACGGGAGGCAGCAGUAGGGAAUAUUGCGCAAUGGGCGAAAGCCUGACGCAGCGACGCCGCGUGUGGGAGGAAGCCUUUCGGGGUGUAAACCACUGUCAGAGGGGAAGAACCGCGACAUUUCGAACAGAGUGUCGUCUGACGGUACCCUCAGAGGAAGCGCCGGCUAACUCCGUGCCAGCAGCCGCGGUAAGACGGAGGGCGCAAGCGUUGUUCGGAAUUACUGGGCGUAAAGCGCGGGCAGGUGGUCCGUUAAGUCGUCUGUGAAAACCCGGGGCUCAACCCCGUGGAAUGCAGGCGAUACUGGCGGACUGGAGAUCGGUAGAGGCUAACGGAAUUCCUAGUGUAGCGGUGGAAUGCGUAGAUA
rnacentral:rRNA from 1 species